GCACGCGCCCGUCCCCCGCCGGGCUGCGUCGUCAGGCCUUCCGGCAGGUGCCCCGCAGCGCUGUCCCUCUGGUCCUCCGGCAACUGUCUGGGCGUCAAGGAGCUUUGUUUGGUGCGAAUACAAAUGCCCACACAACUCCUGUUCCUGACUUUAAAGGAGAAACUUGAGGCUUUUCUAUAACCUGUAACCCCAGCUACCUACUACGGAAUGUGACUCUUCACUAUGCUAUGCGAAUGGAAAUCAUUUCCUCACUGCGCUUGAGUCUUUGGAUGAGACUGUCUUUGAGUUCUUUUCUGGAAACACUUCCUACAGGUGGAAUCUUACGAGCUUUGAGGUACUUGGGCUAGUAAUUGCCUUAGCUGAGGUUCAAGAUAACCCUAUCUUGCUGAUUUUAUUUGUGCAACAAAGGAUGUCGUAUCACAUGCUCAGACUAUUAGGAGCAGCAUUAGUGGCUACCCAACAGAUACCAUAGGAUACUAAACAGGCUAAGCUAGAUUACUCAAACUGAACUGACCAGCACAUACUUUUUGAAAAUGAUUUUAGUUUAUACUUUGGGAAGUAUGUGUAGAAACAUCACACCUCUACUGACCAGCAAAUUGUUUUAAGAAAGUAACAGCAAAAGAUUUUUUAAAAAAGAAAAUUUAAUAAAGAGGAUGGUGAAUUUGUUCACCCAAUGAGAGGAGGAAGAGCAGAAUAAAAAGAUGAAUAUUAGAGUUGGGAAGAGUAAUGGAGAGAAUUUAUAUAUAGUUCUCUCCUAGCAUGGCUCCUUUGACCAAACUUUAGCCAGGCCCUGAACCUUCUCCAAGGCCUAUCUGUGUACUUCCUGGUAAAAUCCAGUUUUAGCAAGAACCCUUCACCCUCAAUAUCUAGUUGGGUUCCUAAUCCCCCGUCAUCCCCGGGUGGUGUCUGAUCAUUCUGGCCUGUCCUCAGCAGGAAUUCUGUUAAGUGGGUUUAGCCAGAAUCCUCCUUGCUCCUGAUGCUUCCUUUAGUAUCAAUAAUUUUCCAUCCCCCAACCCUCACCCACCCUGCUCCUUGGCUACAAAGGGCUAGCUACGUGCCCAAGCUGUCUCCCCCAUAGCAAAAUCCCAUCGUUGUGGUCCCUAUACCUAUCUCAAAGGUCUUGAAUAAAGUCUGCCUUACAGUGCUUUAACAAGAAUCAUGAAUAAUUUUUUUCUUUAGCACUUCUUCCAAUUUAUGUCACCAAAAUGAGUUCUAGGAAAACAAAUCUCUUGUCAAACUUACUCUGUGAUGAAGAGAGCUGGGACUUCAAUUCUUAACUUCAUUUUAUUUAUCUAUAAUAGGAUACCCUAAAUUAAUAUAACCCUAGGCAUCCUGAAAUUUUUAAAGAACUGCCUGAAACUGAGCAUGAGACAUUUAAUCCUAUAGUGAAAAUGGAGCUAUUCUUCAAUAUGCUGAUGCUAGAGAUGGCAGCAGAGGGAGAAAGAAAGGAGAAAAUGGGGUUAUUAAAACAUAGCUAAAGCAGGUGGUACAAAAAAAGGGACUCGAACAUAGUUUUAGGACUAAUAGUGAAGUAGAUGAGUUGAAAGCAUAGCAUCCAACAAAGAAAAGGUUAAACAUAAAAUGAUACUACGUGUCGUUUAAUGCCCACGUAGUGGUAGAGAAUGGCAUGGAAACAGCAGAAAUGCAAUUCAGGAUAUUGGCUGCAUCUAAGGGAGGGUGACGGUUCAAUGUGGGAGGGGUAAGUAGGAUAUUCAAUUAUAAUAAUAUUUCAUUUUUCAAGCUGGCAAUAUUAUUCUUUAAACCUGUGCGUAUCUUAAAUAUUGCACCGUAACGUUUUACAAGGUUGUGCAAGACCGAUCUUCAAUUCAGGAUGUGUCUGUAGGCUUUAUGCACACCUCUGCUUCCUGUACCUCUUUUCCCAUCUUACCACCCAAAUACUGGUUUAAGAGACAAAGAUAUGAUAUGAAUGUUAUUUAAGUUGUUGAAAUGUAGUGUUUCAUAUCAUGAGGCUGAUUUGUAGACUUGUUAUUAGUAGCCUCUCUUCCUUCUCUCACUCCAGCUCUCACUACCUAUUUCCACCUGAUUCGUCGCCCCGUACUUCUGCUGGGUCCUGGCACAGGUAGGCCACACACUCACUGUCCCACACAAACUCGGAUGGGUCGCUGUCACUCUCACCUGCUUGCCUGCCUGCAUUUCUCAAAGAUGGAGAGAACCCAUUCCACUGGGUUCAAACCUCUUCUGGCAUAAACUAUAUAAAUUCUAAGAACUUCAGAUUUUUCAGCAAGCAAUUCAUAUAAUAUAUUCUUCCUUAUAAUUUUGAUACAUCCACAUAUACAGAAAUUGAGUGCUUACAGUUCUGAAUGCAAACAACAACAGGAACACAAAUGACCAUCCACUUUAGUAAGAGUAAUCAUGUUCUGUUGACCUGGAGCACUAACAGGGACACUGUUACCUUUUCACUGAGACCGUCUCAGGCCUCUGACUCAUAAAAUUCUGUUGAAUGAACGUUCUGAGGGUGCCUGCUGUGCACCAAGCACUCACUGCGCCCAUUCAGCUCAUGGUUUCAUGCCCACGUGAGGCAGCUCCCCGUCUCUUUCACGCAGCUCCUGUUAUAUUUGAGCCAUCAGAAGAGAAAAGUGAUAUUCUAACUAGGCACAGCCAGAUAGCCAUCGAGAUUUAGAGAUGUCAUAGGAAUAUUCUUCAGUCAAAAAUCUCAUGAAGUCCGAGGCUAGGUGAGGCACCGCGCGGCGUCCCAGAGACAGCGUGGCAGCAGCCCGACUUCUCGGCAAGGACCGUCGGGCUCUGACUGCAGAUGCGGCAGUGGAGGCUAAUUCUGCGCCAUUCAGGAAGGAAAAAAACAAACAAACCUAGUUGCCAGUAUAGGUGUCACAAAAGAGACAUUAGGAUCAAUCUCUUAUUUUCUUUCCUGCUCUAUCAAACCAGCACUGUGACCUGUGCCAAGAGGCAGCAAAUACAGCAGGACAAGGGGACUACGUUAACGUUACAGCUGUGGCACCACGAAGGACAUGCAGUGGCAGGGCCAGACAUCACAAACUCUAGAAAUCCUGGAAGUACAAGCUCUGCUUUAAGAUGAUCACCUAGGAAGGACUUACACAGAGU